UACGUAGGUGGCGAGCGUUGUCCGGAUUUACUGGGCGUAAAGCGCGCGCAGGCGGUUCUGUAAGUCCUGGGUGAAAUCGCCCGGCUCAACUGGGCGGGGGCCUGGGGGACUGCGGGACUGGAGGGGCCUAGAGGCCGGUGGAACUCCCGGUGUAGUGGUGAAAUGCGUAGAUAUCUGGAGGAAUACCGGUGGCGAAGGCGGCAUCCUGGACCGGCAUUGACGCUGAGGAGCGAAAGCUAGGGGAGCAAACGGG
rnacentral:rRNA from 1 species